UCUGCACCACCCAGGACCCUUCUUUCUGUGACCCAGGCAAAACCCUCUUUGUGUACCACCAACCUCACCGCUUCCAUGCAGCGGUGAACCACAACUUCCACGAAUUUUGUCAUUUAGAUCUUUAGGUCAUUAUAAUGUCAUUAUAAUAAAACUAUCAUGGCCAAUAUUCUCAUUCCCAGCAUGUACCUCAUGCUACGACACUGCCAAGAUUUCCAAAAAAGGCCAGGAAAUUUACAGCACUCAAGCCCUGCCCCCAACUAUGCCCCUAUGGAAUAUUCAAUUAACCCCUGCCACAGACCCCACCCCCUAAACCUCUAGAUCAUAUAAAGUGACAGCCCCGAAUCUUGUUGAGAACAACUGUGUCUCCUGAGAUUUCCUGUAUUCACUUCUGAGUGUGUAUUUUCACUCUGCAUGUAAAUUUUGCUUCUCUACUAUCUAUGCUUCUUCCUUGAAUUCUUUCUUGAAAAGGAGACAAGAACCUGGACCCAGUCAGCCCACAGCAAAGCUAUCUGCUCACCAGGCUGUUCUUUCAUUGGAUUACUAUUUGAGGAGAGUUAUUUUCAUCACUAUCUCUGAGGGCUGGUUGGAUUUUAAAUUGGAAUCUGCAUUUGUAAUUUCAAAUAUCCUUAAAAACAGAUUAUACCUUUAGGGAGUAUUGGGUCUAAAAGUUAUGGGAAACUUGACAAUCAUCUUUCUGUUGCUACCCAGAUUAAUUAAGGAUGUUAGUAUAUGCAAACCUCUUGGAACUGAUUGGAGACUUCAAAACUAGAUGAUAUUCCUGGUAUCUAUUUUUGAUUCCUGAAUAAUUCUCCCUCAUGAAAUUAACAGCCAUCAGAAAACAAAACAAAUACUUGAAUUUAACCAAAGACUGAUGGAGAAUAAUUCAAGCGGUAUUGAAUGCAUUUCAGAACCAGAUUAUUGCUCUCAAAAUUCUAAAUAAACCAGGCUCAUAAGCACUGGUGAUCACUAUGAUGCUAGGCUCAACUGCUGAUGGUCAGAAUUUAUCAGAAGAAUCUUCAGACAUGGAAUGUGUCAUGGAUUAGAUGUUGAUAUUAAUGAAUAAUUUGGAAUGGGGUUUUCUGGAAAAAUGUAUGCUAUUUAAAUAUGUUUAUUUGAACUUAAUAUCUCUUAUCAAAAUGUUAUUCUUAAAUUGAGGAUAUGUCUGAAAAUCAGUAUUCUGAACAUGAAGGAGAUGUGGUAAAUUCAUGACAUCAUUUAAAGGAUGGAGAUAGCUAUAGAAGUUCAUUUGUAGGGCUGGCAUUGUGGCGUAGUGGGUUAAGCCACCAUCUGAAGUGCCAGCAACCCACAUGGGUGCUGAUUCGAGUCCUAGAUGUUCCACUUCCAAUCCACCUCCCUGCUAAUGCACCUGGGAAAGCAGCAGAAGAUGGCCCAAGUGCUGGGGCCCCUGCACUAACAUAGGAGACCCAGAAGAAGCUCCUGGCUCUUGAGUUCAGACUGGCCCAGUCCCAAUCUUUGUGGCAAUUUGAGGAGUGAACCAGCUUACAGAAGAUCACUGUCUGUCCAUCUCUCUCUCUCUAUGUAACUUUACAUUUCAAAUAAAUAAAACACAUCUUAAAAUAAAAAUUAAAAAAAAAAGAAGUUCAUGUGGAUUACUACUCAGCUAUAACUUUUUAAAUUAUUUUUAUCCGCUUUAGCUUAACUCUACAAAGGAUGUUUAUUGAAGGGAGAAACCAUGGUUACUACUAGUGUGUACCUAAAUUGUCUAAUGUGAAAUUGGGGCUCCAAAAUUUUUUAUUUGCCUGGAGGAAUUGGGAGGGGUACAGGGACAUCUAAUCAAAUGCAAAAGUAAGAAAGAAAACUGAGAUGCAUAUUAGAGGCCAGUAGAAGAUGCUGAUCUAUUGCAUCUGGCUUCCUCACACAGGGAGGCAAAUCUCCAACAUUUCUACUCAUUCAUUCACCCACUUCUCUGCACACUGGGGAGUUUUGAAAGAGAAUGUAAGGAGAAACUAAGCAUAAUCUCCGUGUACUAGGGAGACUUUAUAUGACAGAUGUAUGUGUAGUUACAGUAUGCCCAAUACAAUAUGGAAACACUGGGUCCGUGGGAGUCAUGGGAGGAUCUACUUUCCACAGACAAAAUACCAAAACGUGGAGAUAACUUUAGAGUAAUGGCAAAUCUAGUUUAUUUUCACACCUUCCAAGCAGCAUUAUUUAUUGAGGAUUUUAAUAAAAAGCAAUCAUUUGUAUGUCUUGGAAGCCCAGAGAGCAUAGAUGUUGUGGCUCAAAUCUCUUCCAUUUGAUUUAUUGCUCUUUAGUUAAUUUGCACACCAGGUCAGUCAGAGAGUACAGCCAAUAAAGUGGGAACAUUUGUCUUUGAGCAAGUUUGAUCUGAGGUGACUAACAUUAAGCAGUAGCCUAUUGACAAGCACUUCUUUUCCUCACACAGUUUUGAAAUAUGGUUGUCCUAAUGGAAACACCCUCAUGUGUUAGAAUCUGGAUGUGAUCUAAGGUGAGAAGACCUCGGAAUUAGAGUUUCAGUAGAAUCCGUGAGGACCCCCUUCUCAUCAUCCUGACUGCUCCUCGCCUUUGACUUAGGAGAAAACAAAACAAAGGCAGGAUAACCAUGGAAAAACUGAGUUGCCCAGGAAACUGUAAGGAGAGUGAGCAAAUGAUCCUGGGGGAAUAGACGUUUCGGCAAAUCUUUCAACAGGUGUCUGUACUUAAGAAUAGAAUAAUAGUCUUGGAGAUCAUGGAAGUCCUGUUGCUUGAAUGAUGGAAAACUGUUGGGAAUGAUCAAGGAAAUGGAAUCUGAGAGAUUCAUGUACAAGAAAUUUAUUAGGAAGUAUUCUAGAAAUCAAUACCUAAGAAAGGGAAAGAAAAGAAGCAGAAUUGGAUAGAUGGGAAAUCUGGGUGUAAUGCAACCUCCACAAAGGCCUGUGUGGAGCUCCCCAACACAGCUGGCCUUUGAGGGGCAAAGGGGCUGUACCUUCACACUCUUGUGCUGAACAAGUCUUCAUUGCAAGCUCUCCCCAAGUGAUAUUGAAAAUUCAUGUUGAGUGCAUAUUUAAAGAUUAUAAAAAUCAGUGAGUAUUUUAAUUUGGAACAUCAAGAAAUCUUUAUUUAAUCUUGAUGAAGACACAGUGCUUAUAUAUGUAAACCAUCACAUUAAUUCCCUUAAUUGAACAAAGUAUUCACAAGGAGAUUUUUUUGGGCUGAAAAAGGAAUUGCAAAUUUGUAAAACCAGUGUUCAAGCCUGUGGAGUGAAACCUCAAAAUAAUAAUACAGCGACAACUUUCUCAGCUUUUGGUAAGUUCAAUUGGAGUCAGAAGCAGAAUGUUUAUACCUUAAGAAUUUACAAAGAAGCUGUAAG